rnacentral:rRNA from 1 species
AGGGGUGAUGCCUGCCCAGUGACAUUGUUUAAYGGCCGCGGUAUACUGACCGUGCAAAGGUAGCAUAAUCACUUGUCUUUUAAAUAAAGACUAGAAUGAAUGGCUAAACGAGGUUCUAUCUGUCUCUUACAAACAAUCAGUGAAAUUGAUCUUCUCGUGCAAAAGCGAGAAUAACACCAUAAGACGAGAAGACCCUGUGGAACUUUAAGUACAAGUCGACCAUUAAAUCUUUCCUAUAAACUUUACCCCUAAUUACUCGACUAUUACUUUUGGUUGGGGUGACCUCGGAGAACAAUAAACCCUCCGAAAAUUUUUUACUGAGAUACCACAAACCUAAGUGCUUUCGGCAAAGCGAUCCAAAAACUUGAUCAACGAACCAAGCUACCCCAGGGAUAACAGCGCAAUCCCCUCUUAGAGUUCAUAUCAACGACGGGGGUUUACGACCUCGAUGUUGGAUCAGGACAUCCUAAUGGUGUAGYCGCUAUUAAGGGUUC